rnacentral:rRNA from 1 species
UACGGAGGAUCCGAGCGUUAUCCGGAUUUAUUGGGUUUAAAGGGUGCGUAGGCGGUUUGAUAAGUUAGAGGUGAAAUGUCGGGGCUCAACCCCGAAACUGCCUCUAAUACUGUUGGACUAGAGAAUAAUUGCGGUAGGCGGAAUGUAUGGUGUAGCGGUGAAAUGCUUAGAGAUCAUACAGAACACCGAUUGCGAAGGCAGCUUACCGAACUAUAUCUGACGUUGAGGCACGAAAGCGUGGGUAGCAAACAGG